rnacentral:lncRNA from 1 species
GUGGCACCUAUAACACUUCAGAACCUUCUCUGAUCUGUCAUUGGAUUUACCUCUCUUCUCAGGUCUUCCUCACCUCUCAUGAACAGCGAAUGCCUCUGACGUAGAGCCUCCCUUGCAGAUCAUCUCCCAUUGCUCGUUCGAUCUCAGGGUACCCACAACCUCCUCAUACUCUAAGGACUCCUUGUCGUAUACCAAGGUGUAGG